rnacentral:tRNA from 1 species
GGUCCGCUGGCGUAAUGGCAGCGCGUCUGACUACGAUUCUAUCAGUUAAUCAGGAGGUUCCAGGUUCGACCCCUGGGCGGAUCG